AUUGAACGCUGGCGGCAGGCCUAACACAUGCAAGUCGAGCGGAUGAGAGGAGCUUGCUUCUCGAUUCAGCGGCGGACGGGUGAGUAAUGCCUAGGAAUCUGCCUGGUAGUGGGGGACAACGUUUCGAAAGGAACGCUAAUACCGCAUACGUCCUACGGGAGAAAGCAGGGGACCUUCGGGCCUUGCGCUAUCAGAUGAGCCUAGGUCGGAUUAGCUAGUUGGUGAGGUAAUGGCUCACCAAGGCGACGAUCCGUAACUGGUCUGAGAGGAUGAUCAGUCACACUGGAACGGAGACACGGUCCAGACUCCUACGGGAGGCAGCAGUGGGGAAUAUUGGACAAUGUGCGAAAGCCUGAUCCAGCCAUGCCGCGUGUGUGAAGAAGGUCUUCGGAUUGUAAAGCACUUUAAGUUGGGAGGAAGGGUUGUAGAUUAAUACUCUGCAAUUUUGACGUUACCGACAGAAUAAGCACCGGCUAACUCUGUGCCAGUCGCCGCCGUAACAC
rnacentral:rRNA from 1 species